AAGUCGAGGGGCAGCAUUCCAGUUUGCUUGCAAACUGGAGAUGGCGACCGGCGCACGGGUGAGUAACACGUAUCCAACCUGCCGAUAACUCGGGGAUAGCCUUUCGAAAGAAAGAUUAAUACCCGAUGGCAUAAUAGAACCGCAUGGUUUGAUUAUUAAAGAAUUUCGGUUAUCGAUGGGGAUGCGUUCCAUUAGGCAGUUGGUGGGGUAACGGCCCACCAAACCUUCGAUGGAUAGGGGUUCUGAGAGGAAGGUCCCCACAUUGGAACUGAGACACGGUCCAAACUCC
rnacentral:rRNA from 1 species